rnacentral:rRNA from 1 species
UCUACGGGCGGCAGCAGUGAGGAAUAUUGGACAAUGGUCGGAAGACUGAUCCAGCCAUGCCGCGUGAAGGAAACUGCCCUAUGGGUUUUCAACUUCUUUUGUAUGAGAGCAAUAAGUUCUACGUGUAGGACGAUGAGAGUAUCAUACGAAUAAGCAUCGGCUAACUCCGUGCCAGCAGCCGCGGUAAUA